AUUAAUUAAAGGAGUACUCUAUUAGGGUAAGCAAAGCAACUCGAAGCUUCUCACGCGGUGGUUAUAUCAUACGUACCUGCAUGAGAAAAGCUUGGUGCCAGUAAGAUAUAAUAUAUCGAUCGAUCCGAUCGAACUCCCACUCGCUGAAUUCCUGAUUCAUAUCUCUCCACCAUGCAUAUGCAUGCAUGCAGGCAAGAAGAAGAAGAGGGCAACGAUGGCGGCGGCGAUGAUCUCCGGAGGACGGGCGGCGGCGCUGGUGCUGGCCGCGGUCGUGCUGUGCUCGGUGGCGGCCAUGGCGGCGGCGCAGCAGGCGUCGAACGUGCGGGCGACGUACCACUACUACAACCCGCAGCAGAACAACUGGAACCUCAACGCCGUCAGCGCCUACUGCUCCACCUGGGACGCCGGCAAGCCGCUGGCGUGGCGGCAGAAGUACGGCUGGACGGCCUUCUGCGGGCCCGCGGGGCAGAAGGGGCAGGCCGCCUGCGGCAAGUGCAUCCGGGUGACGAACCGCGCGACGGGGGCGGCCAUCACGGCGAGGAUCGUGGACCAGUGCAGCAAUGGCGGCCUCGACCUGGACUACGAGACGGUGUUCAAGAAGAUCGACACCAACGGGCAGGGAUACCAGAUGGGACACCUCAACGUCAACUACCAGUUCGUCGCCUGCUGAUUGAUGAUCACUUUCAUCACCCACUCCAUCAUCAAGUACUACAGUACACAUGUAAUAACAAGCCAUGAUAUAUAUGAUGCAUGCAUGGCGUGAUCGAUGAAUAAAACCGAUGGGAUAGAUAGCUCUGC
rnacentral:lncRNA from 1 species